GACGAACGCUGGCGGCGUGCUUAACACAUGCAAGUCGAACGAGUGGCGAACGGGUGAGUAAUACGUGAGUAACCUGCCCUCUUUUUGGGAUAAGCCUUGGAAACGGGGUCUAAUACCGGAUAAAGGGGGAGGGGCUCGCGGCCUAUCAGCUUGUUGGUGGGGUGAUGGCCUACCAAGGCGGUGACGGGUAGCCGGCCUGAGAGGGUGACCGGCGACAAUGGGACGGAGAUGCGGCCCAGACUCCUACGAGGGGGAGCAGUGGGGGAUAUUGCACAAUGGGCGAAAGCCUGAUGCAGCGACGCCGCGUGGGGGAUGCAGGCUGUCGGGUUGUAGUCCUCUGUCACUAAAGAAGGGUAGGUGGAGAAGAAGCGCCGGCUAACUACGUGCCAGCAGCCGCGGUAAUUC
rnacentral:rRNA from 1 species